rnacentral:rRNA from 1 species
GAUGAACGCUGGCGGCGUGCCUAAUACAUGCAAGUCGAGCGAACGGACGAGAAGCUUGCUUCUCUGAUGUUAGCGGCGGACGGGUGAGUAACACGUGGAUAACCUACCUAUAAGACUGGGAUAACUUCGGGAAACCGGAGCUAAUACCGGAUGAUAUUUUGAACCGCAUGGUUCAAAAGUGAAAGACGGUCUUGCUGUCACUUAUAGAUGGAUCCGCGCUGCAUUAGCUAGUUGGUAAGGUAACGGCUUACCAAGGCAACGAUGCAUAGCCGACCUGAGAGGGUGAUCGGCCACACGGGAACUUAGACACGGUCCAGACUCCUACGGGAGGCAGCAGUAGGGAAUCUUCCGCAAUGGGCGAAAGCCUGACGGAGCAACGCCGCGUGAGUGAUGAAGGUCUUCGGAUCGUAAAACUCUGUUAUUAGGGAAGAACAUAUGUGUAAGUAACUGUGCACAUCUUGACGGUACCUAAUCAGAAAGCCACGGCUAACUACGUG